UACAGAGGGUGCGAGCGUUGUUCGGAAUUACUGGGCGUAAAGCGUGCGCAGGCGGUUCUCCAAGUCCGUUGUGAAAGCCCCGGGCUCAACCUGGGAAUGGCAGUGGAAACUAGGGGACUUGAAUCUGGCAGAGGGGGGUGGAAUUCCACGUGUAGCAGUGAAAUGCGUAGAGAUGUGGAGGAACACCGAUGGCGAAGGCAGCCCCCUGGGCUGAGAUUGACGCUCAGGCACGAAAGCGUGGGGAGCAAACAGG
rnacentral:rRNA from 1 species